rnacentral:lncRNA from 1 species
GUUUCCUGUGCUAUUCUUGUGAUUGACAGUGAAUGAGUCUCACAAGAUCUGACGGUUUUUAAAAACGGGAGUUUCCCUGCACAAAUUUGCUUGCUGGCAACCAUGUGAGAUGGGACUUUCUCCUCCUUGACUUUCGCCAUGAUUGUGAGGCCUUCCCAGCCAUGUGGAACUCUUCUUUCGUGGCAAUUUUCCCCCAGGAGGGAUUUCCCUGCAGUGGACCUCCUCCCCAGUGGUACCUUCAGCCAUCAGAACACCUCGCUUUAGAUCUGUGGGUCCCAAAUUUCAUCAAAUCCAAUGACCAUUUCUAUGAUCACUCAUUCUGGGGGCAGCCCUCUGGCAUGUAAUGAGCAGUCCUAUGGAGAGGCCCAUGUGACAGUAGCCAUGCGAGUGACACUGGAAGUGAAACCUGCAGCUCCAGUCAAGCCUUUAGAAGACUGCAGCCCUGGCUGACAGCUUGACAGCAAACUCAUGAGAGACUCUCAGCUUGAACAACUCAGCUAAACUGUUCCUGGGUUCCUGGUCCUCAAAAACUCUGGAAUUCUGUGAAGCACAUGACCUCAAGUCUUUGGAUAAAUGGAAACGCAGCUUAUGCCGGAAAGAUGGAAGGCUGGCUGUACUAAUAUCAGAAAUGGAAGAGGAGAGACAUCACUAGAGAUCCCAUGGAUAUUGAAAGGAUAAUAAAGGAGUAUUAUGAGCAUUGUUAUAUUUUAUGUCUCCUAUAAGCUGUAAAUUCCUACAUAGCAAGAAUUCUGUCUUACUCAUCCUUUAACAACUACUGUGUACCUUAUAAUGUUUCAUAAAAUAUUAUGAUUUGGUUUUAUUAUUCACAAAAGAAUGCUAUAAGAGGUGAAAAAUGGAGAGGCUAGAAAGCAUAAAAACAAGUUACAUCAGGUGGUAGAGCCUGGUUUAAGGGUCAAAGAUAAAAGAAGGGAAGGUUAAGGGCAGGGCUUUAGAGGGAGAGAGGAUAAACACAGUUUGAUUAAAUGGCUGAUUCAGCCGGGUGUGGCGGCUCAUGCGUAUAAUCCCAACACUUUGAAAGGCUGAGGCAGGAGGAUUGCUUGAGCCUAGGAGUUCAAGACCAGCCUGGGCAACAUGGAGAAAUCCUAUCUCUACCAAAAUACAAAUACAAAAACAAAAAUUAGCCAGGUGUGGUUAUAUACACCUGUAGUCCCAGCUGCUUGGGAGGCAGAGGUGGGAGGAUUGGUUAGGUCUAGGAAGUUGAGGCUGCAGUGACCUAUGAUUGCUCCACUGCACUCUAGCCUUGGUGACACAGAGAGAUCCUGUCUCAAAACAAAAACAAACAACAACAACAAAAAACAUAUAUAUAUAUAUAUGAGGUUUAUCCACAGUAAAGUUCAGUCUAGGGUUAAUAAAAGAUUCUAGGGUUCACUAAGACAAAGAGUAGUCGCAGUAGCAGAGCCUUGGGUGAAGCUAAGGUCCCCAGGAGAUCUGGGAUGUCUGUGAGGAACAGUGAGGCUUAGUCAUUCAGACAAGCCAGCAGAAGUGAAGUUUAGAGAAUGUGGAUGGGCCUCAGGCUCUAGACAUCAAAACAAACAGAUAGAAAAGGCAGAGUGUAGAAUCCAGACAGUGAGGCUCACAACAAGGUAUGCAAUUCUGCAUAAGCAGAUUUGAGGGGACACCAACUAUGGACUGAUGUAGAUAAAUAUUUCUGGUAAUUCCAGUUAGUGAUUCACUCUGAACUCACAUAGGAUAGUAUCUCUUCAAAGGCACUUGUGUUGUAAUUAAAUGCACACAUAAGACAUAAUGCUUAUUGAGCCCUUAGCAUGUACCACCCACUCUUAUGCAUACUAUAUGUUUAAACCAUUUAAACUCACACCAACCCCCUGGGGGUAGGUAGUAUUAUUAUCCCUGUUACAGAUAAGGAAAGUGAGAAGUAGGAGUUAAUUGGUCUCAUGAUCCCCUACAGGCUGGCCUUCCAGAAAAAGGAGGUAACUUGCCCCAGGAUACCCUGGAAACCAAUCAGAAUGAAUUGCCUUAAACUCUGGCUUGUAGCCCAAAGCAAGGCUUGCCCACAAGUCUUGCCAGUAUGUGGUUGAACAGAAAUUAGAAUCCAGACAGCCUGAGUCCUUUUCUUGCCAGGCAGGGGCUGGGGCUUCCCCAACCAUGAAAGUUCAGGUGGUAGAUCCUGCCACUGCUUUGCACACCAGCUCCCUGGUGCUAACCUCAACUGCCAGUGCUGAGCUGGAAGGAUAGGGCUGGAGGCAAACUCCUACCCCAUCAUGUUGCUGGUGUAUUCCAUCCUGGUAUUGGUCACACCAAGGAAGGGCCUGGACUUUCCUAAUCAUGCAGCUUAAAAGCAACACAAGGCAAGGCGGGGAGUCCGCUCUCCUGAAGUCUGACAUCCAGGAAGACCAGAUUGCUAUGUGCUGUCUUUGACUUACUUGGAGACUCACACACCUACACUAGUGCCCCCUUAUCUGAGGGGGAUGCAUUCCAAGACCCCCAGUGGAUGCUUGAAACCAUAAAUAAUACCAAACCCUACAUAUACUAUGUUUUUUCAUAUAUAUACCUAUGAUAAAAUUUAAUUUAUAUAAUAGAUUAGGCAGAGACUAAUAACAAUAACUAAUAAUAAAAUAGAAGAAUUAUAACAACAUACUAUAAUAAAAGUUAACGUGAACAUUGUUUGUCUCAAAAUAUCUUAUUGUAUGUAAUAUUUUUGGACUGUGGUUGUUCAUAGCAAGUGAAAACUCAGAUGGGGGAGGGUGGCAUACUGUAUUUAUUUUCCUGUAUCCAUUAGUGUUUCCCAGUGAACACUGCACCAGGAGGUUGGCCAUUUGUCUUUAUUUAUACAUCAAACUAAGGCAUGGAGAAUAAGAGCUUGGUAAGGUCAUAUAGCCAGGAGGUGGUUGAACUGAGAUUCAAACUGAGACAGUCUGAGUCCAAAUUCUACCACCUCUUGUGUGUGACAUUUAAUGGAUAGGUGGGCUUUUGUAACCAGUGUCUCUGCCUUUCUCCAUGAUUCACAGCACAGAAACUUGUGCAUACAUUCUCACUUGAUAUCUGAAUGACUGUAACAGUGAUGUAAAUUAACAAGGAAGGGAGAUAGCCCUGAUUUAAUUGGAAAUCACUGACAGAGCUCGCCCAGUAAACUCUCUACAAACAGAAUACAAAUGUUUUGUAUUUAAUUGCUAAAGUGUUUUAAAAUUGAACUCAAAUUAAUAAAUACUUAUUGUAUCUGUCAGUUAAACGAAACAACCAAUAAACAACCAACUCUGUUUUCUAAUCAAGAGGGACUGAUCCUUUAAAAAAAAUAGGGUUUAAAAAAGAUGAUAUGAUCAAUGUAAAAUUGGAUUAUAGACUUUUAGAGUCUUAAAAGAUGAGAAAAGAGAUAAAGAUGAAUAGAUAUGGAGUAACUAGGAUAAGACUCUCUCACAAACUGGACCUUAAACAGAUUUAGGAAGAAAUAUAGGAUUAGGAUAGAGAAAAAGAAGAGAAAGAAUUGCCUAUAGGCAUAAUAAAAAGCACAAGUGUAUCAAUCAACACAGGGUAUUGUGGACCAGUGAGGAAGGAUCAUGAUCUAGACUAGGGGAUUCAUGUUGGAAACAGUGAGACAAGUUAGAAAGGAUAGGAUGGGACAUAUUAUAUGGUUCCAAACAUAAUAAAUGAGCACUUGAGCUAGAAAGUAGUAUAAUGUUCACAGGUGGUAAAGAGGUAUAAUGAAAAAACUAUACUUCACAAAAAUUAGUGGUGUUCAGUGGGUUGGAGAGAAGACCAAUUAGAAGGUUAUCUGUGGAAUUACAACAACCCAGUGAAUUGAGCUGAUGGAGAGAGAUGCUCCUCCCACUACCAACACUCAAACAUAAGGCAAAAAUAUUUAUAGGUGAUGAGUAAUGAUGAAAAAACAAAAGAACAAAUGAUAGAUGACAUGAAGAAUGGGAGUAGGGAAGACCAUAUUUAAGACUCUGAGGUCAUUAAAUGAUGUAACAUGUUUACUAGCCCAAAAAUAUAUACUAAAAGAGUAGAAAGAAAACAAAAAAUUUCCAAAUCAGUAGCAAGGAUCAAGAAAACAAUCCAAAUGGAAGGAAAGAACAAUGUCCCUUGGAACAUAACAAUAGAACAUAAUAUGAACAGUACCUCCUUCUAUGUAGUGUAGAUAUUAAACAUAGGGUGGGAAGUACACAUAUCAAUUUCAAAAUAGUGGUUUAAUCUGAAAUUGUUAAACAGAGAGGGAGGGAAGCAAUAGAACUGAGAGAGCGUUCAAAAGCCUUUUGUUGUAUCUGUAGAGUCUUUUAUUUCUUAAAAAUACAAUCGUAUACCACAUGAUAACAUUUUGGCCAAUGGACUACACAUAUGACAUGGUCCCAUAAGAUUAUAGUACUGUCUUUUUACUGUACCUUUUCUAUGUUUAGAUAUAUUUACAUAUACAAAUACCACUGUUAAAUUGCCUACAGUAUUCAGCACAGUAACAUGCUGUGCAGGAUUGUAGCCUAGGAGCAAUGGGCUACACCAUGUGGCCUAGGUGUGUCGUAGGCUCUACUAUUUUGGUUUGUAUAAGUACACUCUAUGAUGUUCACACAAUGAUGAAAUCACCUAACGAUGCAUUUCUCAGAAUAAGUUUCUGUUGUUAAGCAACCCAUGAUUGUAUCUGAAGCAAAUAUCUAUA